AAAAAGUGUGGAAAAUCAAGAAAAACAAGUGAAAAAGGUGGUGAGUCCUCCGAUAAAGGCAAGGAAAUUGCAUCCGAGGACCAUAGUCAGAGUACUUCAAAAAUUCGCACUCUAGACAUUUGGGCGGGUUUCCAUGGACCAGACUAUUAGAGGGGCACGA